GAUGAACGCUGGCGGCGUGCCUAAUACAUGCAAGUCGAGCGAACAGAUGAGGAGCUUGCUCCUCUGACGUUAGCGGCGGACGGGUGAGUAACACGUGGAUAACCUACCUAUAAGACUGGGAUAACUUCGGGAAACCGGAGCUAAAACCGGAUAAUAUAUUGAACCGCAUGGUUCAAUAGUGAAAGACGGUUUUGCUGUCACUUAUAGAUGGAUCCGCGCCGCAUUAGCUAGUUGGUAAGGUAACGGCUUACCAAGGCAACGAUGCGUAGCCGACCUGAGAGGGUGACCGGCCACACUGGAACUGAGACACGGUCCAGACUCCUACGGGAGGCAGCAGUAGGGAAUCUUCCGCAAUGGGCGAAAGCCUGACGGAGCAACGCCGCGUGAGUGAUGAAGGUCUUCGGAUCGUAAAACUCUGUUAUUAGGGAAGAACAAAUGUGUAAGUAACUAUGCACGUCUUGACGGUACCUAAUCAGAAAGCCACGGCUAACUACGUG
rnacentral:rRNA from 1 species